rnacentral:rRNA from 1 species
AUGAACGCUAGCUACAGGCUUAACACAUGCAAGUCGAGGGGCAGCAUGGUCUUAGCUUGCUAAGGCCGAUGGCGACCGGCGCACGGGUGAGUAACACGUAUCCAACCUGCCGUCUACUCUUGGACAGCCUUCUGAAAGGAAGAUUAAUACAAGAUGGCAUCAUGAGUCCGCAUGUUCACAUGAUUAAAGGUAUUCCGGUAGACGAUGGGGAUGCGUUCCAUUAGAUAGUAGGCGGGGUAACGGCCCACCUAGUCUUCGAUGGAUAGGGGUUCUGAGAGGAAGGUCCCCCACAUUGGAACUGAGACACGGUCCAAACUCCUACGGGAGGCAGCAGUGAGGAAUAUUGGUCAAUGGGCGAGAGCCUGAACCAGCCAAGUAGCGUGAAGGAUGACUGCCCUAUGGGUUGUAAACUUCUUUUAUAAAGGAAUAAAGUCGGGUAUGGAUACCCGUUUGCAUGUACUUUAUGAAUAAGGAUCGGCUAACUCCGUGCCAGCAGCCGCGGUAAUACGGAGGAUCCGAGCGUUAUCCGGAUUUAUUGGGUUUAAAGGGAGCGUAGAUGGAUGUUUAAGUCAGUUGUGAAAGUUUGCGGCUCAACCGUAAAAUUGCAGUUGAUACUGGAUAUCUUGAGUGCAGUUGAGGCAGGCGGAAUUCGUGGUGUAGCGGUGAAAUGCUUAGAUAUCACGAAGAAUUCCGAUUGCGAAGGCAGCCUGCUAAGCUGCAACUGACAUUGAGGCUCGAAAGUGUGGGUAUCAAACAGGAUUAGAUACCCUGGUAGUCCACACGGUAAACGAUGAAUACUCGCUGUUUGCGAUAUACUGCAAGCGGCCAAGCGAAAGCGUUAAGUAUUCCACCUGGGGAGUACGCCGGCAACGGUGAAACUCAAAGGAAUUGACGGGGGCCCGCACAAGCGGAGGAACAUGUGGUUUAAUUCGAUGAUACGCGAGGAACCUUACCCGGGCUUAAAUUGCAGAUGAAUUACGGUGAAAGCCGUAAGCCGCAAGGCAUCUGUGAAGGUGCUGCAUGGUUGUCGUCAGCUCGUGCCGUGAGGUGUCGGCUUAAGUGCCAUAACGAGCGCAACCCUUGUUGUCAGUUACUAACAGGUUCCGCUGAGGACUCUGACAAGACUGCCAUCGUAAGAUGUGAGGAAGGUGGGGAUGACGUCAAAUCAGCACGGCCCUUACGUCCGGGGCUACACACGUGUUACAAUGGGGGGUACAGAGGGCCGCUACCACGCGAGUGGAUGCCAAUCCCCAAAACCUCUCUCAGUUCGGACUGGAGUCUGCAACCCGACUCCACGAAGCUGGAUUCGCUAGUAAUCGCGCAUCAGCCACGGCGCGGUGAAUACGUUCCCGGGCCUUGUACACACCGCCCGUCAAGCCAUGGGAGCCGGGGGUACCUGAAGUGCGUAACCGCGAGGAGCGCCCUAGGGUAAAACUGGUGACUGGGGCU